AUGCAUUUUAGACAAAAAACCCAAAAGCAUACAAAAAGCAAGCAAAAUAGAUUCCUUGUAAUUUCUCUGAAUGUAUACUGUUUCACAAAGUGGUGAAAUUUUCAGGCAAGGGAAAAGAGAAAACGAUGAUAAUCUUAAAACACUACAAGAAAUUUUAAAUCCAUCCCAGUGAGAUAGCAACCUCUGCAGUUGAGCUGUAUGUAGGACUGCAUGAAUGCCCAUGUUUGAAAACUUUAUGACAGUAACAAAAUGGAUCCAGUAUGUACAACUGAAUGCAGUGCUAAUCAAACUUGGAUACAUUUGGAUUUGCAUGAGGGAAAAGCUGACAAGGCUGACUGAGCACAUCUGCUUAGCUGUUUCUUGCAGUUCCUGAGAAAUGACUCAAUAUUCAGUGAAGGCCAAAAUGCUGGAAUUGGAGAGUCAAUAUGGCAGCAAAAACUUUAGCUUCUCUAAUCAACUUGAAUAGAGAGGAUGCUCAUGCUUCUCAAAAAAGCAUUCAGGUUGAGGGCACCAGCUUCUUAUAACUGUUGAACUGCAGCAUUACCACUUAGCAGCACCUGAGCAACAUCCUGUCUGUGAGAAGAAAAGGCAACCAAGGCAUUUGACUUCAGCUAUGUGGAGGCUUUUCCAAAGUAUGUUAUGUUACCAGCAAGGCAUUCUUAAGCAUUAUUUUGCAAGCUUUGCAUAUCUCUUCAAACUAAUUUUUGAGACACACGCACGUUCUAAGUGUGCAGAGCUUUCAGAACUGAGGGUCAAAUCCAACUCUUGAUGCAGAAAGAGUGGUAGAAAUGCUGCUGCUGUAGUCUUCCCAUGUGAAUAAAUGGGGUUUCAUUUGUUUUGUUUGC